rnacentral:rRNA from 1 species
GUGCCAGCAGCCGCGGUAAAACGUAGGAGCCAAGCGUUAUCCGAAUUCACUGGGCGUAAAGCGCGUGCAGGCGGCUGGGUAAGUUGGAUGUGAAAUCUCCUGGCUCAACUGGGAGAGGCCGUUCAAUACUACCUGGCUUGAGGGCGACAGAGGGAGGUGGAAUUCCGGGUGUAGUGGUGAAAUGCGUAGAUAUCCGGAGGAACACCAGAGGCGAAGGCGACCUCCUGGGUCGUACCUGACGCUGAGAUGCGAAAGCUAGGGGAGCAAACGGGAUUAGAAACCCCAGUAGUCC